CCUACGGGAGGCAGCAGUGGGGAAUAUUGGACAAUGGGCGAAAGCCUGAUCCAGCAAUGCCGCGUGAGUGAUGAAGGCCUUAGGGUUGUAAAGCUCUUUUACCAGGGAUGAUAAUGACAGCACCUGGAGAAUAAGCUCCGGCUAACUCCGUGCCAGCAGCCGCGGUAAUACGGAGGGAGCUAGCGUUGUUCGGAAUUACUGGGCGUAAAGCGCGCGUAGGCGGCGAUUCAAGUCAGAGGUGAAAGCCCGGGGCUCAACCCCGGAACUGCCUUUGAAACUAGAUUGCUAGAAUCUUGGAGAGGUCAGUGGAAUUCCGAGUGUAGAGGUGAAAUUCGUAGAUAUUCGGAAGAACACCAGUGGCGAAGGCGACUGACUGGACAAGUAUUGACGCUGAGGUGCGAAAGCGUGGGGAGCAAACAGGAUUAGGAUACCCGUGGUAGUCCACGCCGUAAACGAUGAUAACUAGCUGUCCGGGCACUUGGUGCUUGGGUGGCGCNGCUACGCAUAGUUAGUCCGCCGUGGGAGGUACGGUCGCGAGAGUAAACGUACUAAUUAGAAGUAGAGNGUGNGAGNGCGACGGACGACGACGAGGGAGAGG
rnacentral:rRNA from 1 species